ensembl:snRNA U6 U6 spliceosomal RNA
CUGCUCACUUUGGCAGCACAUAUACUAAAAUUGGAAUGAUACAGAGAAGAUUCGCAUGGCCCCUGCACAAGGAUGACACACAACUUCGUGAAGGGUUCCAUAUUUUU